AGUGAACGCUGGCGGUAGGCCUAACACAUGCAAGUCGAACGGCAGCACAGGAGAGCUUGCUCUCUGGGUGGCGAGUGGCGGACGGGUGAGGAAUACAUCGGAAUCUACUCUGUCGUGGGGGAUAACGUAGGGAAACUUACGCUAAUACCGCAUACGACCUACGGGUGAAAGCAGGGGACCUUCGGGCCUUGCGCGAUUGAAUGAGCCGAUGUCGGAUUAGCUAGUUGGCGGGGUAAAGGCCCACCAAGGCGACGAUCCGUAGCUGGUCUGAGAGGAUGAUCAGCAACACUGGAACUGGGACACGGUCCAGACUCCUACGGGAGGAAGCAGUGGGGAAUAUUGGACAAUGGGCGCAAGCCUGAUCCAGCCAUACCGCGUGGGUGAAGAAGGCCUUCGGGUUGUAAAGCCCUUUUGUUGGGAAAGAAAUCCAGCUGGCUAAUACCCGGUUGGGAUGACGGUACCCAAAGAAUAAGCACCGGCUAACUUCGUGCCAGCCGCCGCCGUAA
rnacentral:rRNA from 1 species